CCACUCUCCCCAAAUAGGCCCUGCUCGUGUACACCCCAUACCUUUACAAAUGCUGCUCUCCUGCCGGGAAUGCCUGUUCUCAUCCUCUUACCCUGGCAAGACAUUCAGUUAGUUCUUUACAACCCAGUUCUGAUGUCACUUCCUUUUAGUCAUUCAUCCGUCCCUCUGGGCUGGGUUAAUUCACUUCCUUCUCCAGGGCUUCGCUGAACUCUGCACAGACCUCAAUUACAACCCUUAUAAAGCUGGGUUGUGGUCGGGUGCGGUGGCUCAUGCCUGUAAUCCCAGCACUUGGGAGACUGAGGCAUGUGAGUCGCCUGAACCCGGGAGGCAGAGGUUGAAGUGAGCCGAGAUCGUGCCACUGCACUCCAGCCUGGGCGACAGAGCGAGACUCCGUCUCAAAAGUAAGUAAGUAAAUAAAUAAAUAAUAAAGCUAGGUUGUAAUUCCUUAAUUACUGAUCAGACUUUUUUCACUAGACUGUGGGUGUCACAUGUGGGUCUGAGUCAUCUCUGUGUCCUCAGAGCCAAGAAGUGGGGAGGUGCUUAAUGAAGUUACUGAAUGCUCCAGAAAUAUGUUCCCGUCACUGAGUGCUCCAAAGAGGCAUUCACCUGUCUCCUCUUCCCUGAUCAUCCCUCGGGGCUACCUGGAGUGCCUGCCAGAUCAGAGUUUGAGAGAUCUGCCCUGGCAGUCGCCUGACUAGGCCUACAUAUCUUCCCGUGUCUGGCCAGCCUUCCAGAGAGCAGUCUGUCCCUCUCUCCGACUCCAGCCGGCCAGGCCUGGUUCUCACAUUGUCAAAAAUAAAAGGAGUUAAAAGAAGCCAAGCGAUUAGGCAAGAAAAGGAAAUGAAGGCAUCCAGACUUGAAGGAAAGAAGUGAAACUAUUUGAAGAUAACAUGGUCUUGUUUGUAGAAAAUCCUGGGGAAUCUACAAGAAAAUUUUUAGAACUCACAAAUGAGUUCCAGGGGCCCAAGUCCUCAGUUUGGCUUUGAAGGGGUCCCUUGGUCUCCUGGCCCUGCUCCCCCUUUCCUGUGGCACUUCCCAGCACUCCUCCUGUGAGUGGCUCUUAGCAGCCGCAGUGGAGCAUCCACUUUGACGUUGCCUACUUUCCCCUCUCUUCUCCCUGCCUGGGUAGAGCCUUUGAAGAGCUUCUGUCUCAUCUUCACCUCAUCCCUAAAGUCCUUAAAUAAGGGGCAUAUUUAUCGAGGAUAAGAAUUGGACCUGUGUUAUCUCAUUCAAUCCCCACAGCAACCUUUGGAAGUGGGAACUGUAAUUAUCACCCCCAUUUUUCAGAUGAGGCUCUGGGAACCUAUGCCCCUGGUCCAACCUCACAGUUAUGAGGCCCACUGGGCUUGAAAGCAAGGGCUGCCUGACUCCAACAUCCAAUUUCUUUUUUUUUUUUUUUUUGAGAUGGAGUCUCGCUCAGUCGCCCAGGCUGGAGUGCAGUGGCGCAUACUCGGCUCGCUGCAAGCUCCGCCUCCUGGGUUCACGCCAUUCUCCUGCCUCAGCCUCCCGAGUAGCUGGGACUACAGGUGCCCACCACCAUGCUCGGCUAAUUUUUUUUGUAUUUUUUAGUAGAGACCGGGUUUCACCGUGUUAGCCAGGAUGGUCUCGAUAUCCUGAACUCAUGAUCCGCCUGCCGCGGCCUCCCAAAGUGCUGGGAUUACAGGCGUGAGCCACCGCGCCCGGCCCUCCAACAUCCAAUUUCUUAACCCGAAAUUUGGAAAGAGAAGUGAGGCCCUAUUCUAAUGCUUCCUCCCCUAGCUAGAUGUAUCUCUUCUUUCCCUGACCCAGACUCCAAGGCUGAUAAGCUAUCAGUGUGUAGAGCUGACUCUGUACUGUGAUCAUUUAUGCAGAGCUUUUCUCUCCCCUGUUUGGCUGGAAGAUCCAUGGGAGCAGAGGCCACGUCUUAUUCAGCCUCACAUGCUAGAACUGCUUGGCACAUGCUCAAAUGUACAUACCUAGAUACUACAUUCUUGAUCAUUUGAAAAAUUUGCUGCCUUUUAAUUCUUUUUAAAUUUGUGAGUUCCUCAUUCAUCCUUUUAUUUCCUUAUACUUUUUCCUUGAAAGAAUCUGGAAGUUUGACUGUUGCAUCUCCCUUGGCCUGACAUUGCUGACUGCACACUCGAGGUUCUGUUCAACACACUGCUCUGUCCUGUGAUCGUCCUGUGAAUUGCCAGCUGAAUCCAGAGACUGGCUCAGGCUCAGGAUUGAUCCCUUUGGUCAGACUGCAGGUGGGGCUUGGCUUCUCUAGGUGGUAUAUAAUGUCUGUUUGUCUCAUUUUCUAAUAAUCUUAGCAGCUGUUAUACUUAAUACCUAUAUCUAUUCCUCUGUUCUCUUAAAAAUUCUAAUUGUGUAAAAUAUAUAUAAUACAGAAUUUACCAUUUUAACCAUUUUAAAGUGUACAGAUCAGCAAUGUUAAGUACAUUCAUAUUGUUGUGCAACCAAUCUCCAGAACUCUCUUUAUCUUGUAAAACUGAAACUCUAUAUUUACUGAACAACUCUCCAUUUCUCCCUCCCUCAACCCCUGGCACUCACCAUUCCACUUCCUUUUUCUUUUUUUUUGAGACCAAGUCUCGCUCUGUCACCCAAGCUGGAGUGCAAUGGCGCCAUCUCGGCUCACUGCAACCUCCGCCUGCCGGGUUCAAGUGAUUCUCCUGCCUCAGCCUCCUGAGUAGCUGAGAUUACAGGCACCUGCCAUCAUGCCGGGAUAAUUUUUGUAUUUUUGUAGAGACAGGGUUUCACUAUGUUGGCCAGGCUGGUCUUGAACUCCUGACCUCAGGUGAUCCGCCUGCCUCAGCCCUCCAAAGGGCUGGGAUUACAGGUGUGAGCCACUGCGCCUGGCCCCACUUUGUUUUUCUUUCUGUUUUUUUUUUUUUGGUUUUGUUUGUUUGUGUGUUUGUUUUUGGAGACGGACUCUCCCUCUGUUGCCCAGGCUGGGGUGCAGUGGCGCAAUCUUGGCUCACUGUAACCUCCGCCUCCUGGGUUCAAGCAAUUCUGCUGCCUCAGCCUCCUGAGUAGCUGGGACUACAGGCGUACCUCACCAAGCCUGGCUAAUUUUUUUGUAUUUUUAGUAGAGAUGGAGUUUCACCGUGUUGCCCAGGCUGCUUUUGAACUCCUGAGCUCAGGCAAUCUGCCCGCCUCGGCCUCCCAAAGUGCUGGGAUUACAGGCAUGAGCCACCACACCCGGCCUGUUUUUUGGUCUUUUUUUUUUGAGACAGAAUCUAGCUUUGUCACCCAGGCUGGUGUGCAGUGGUACAACCUCGGCUCCCUGCAACCUCCACCUCCUGGCUUCAAGUGAUUCUCCUGCCUCAGCCUCCCAAGUAGCUGGGAUCACAGGCACAUGCCAGCAUGUCCAGCUAAGUUUUUGUAUUUUUAGUACAGACGGGAUUUCAGUAUGUUACCCAGACUGGUCUUGAACUCUUGACCUCAAGAGAUCCACCUGCCUCGGUCUCCCAAAGUGCUUGGAUUACAGGCAUGAGCCACUGCACCUGGUCUCCACUUUCUGUCUCCAUGAGUUUGAGUACGCCAGGGACCUCAUAUAGGCAGAUUCAUAUACUACGUGCCCUUUUGUGACUGGCUGAUUUAUCUUAGCAUAACGUCCUCAGGUUUCAUCCACGCUGUAGCAUAUCACAGGAUUUCCUUUCUUUUGGAUGCUGAAUAAUAUUUUAUUGUAUGAAUACGCCACAUUUUGUGUAUCCAUUCAUCCUCUGAUGGACACUGGCUGCUUCCACUCUUCGGCUGCUGUGAAUAAUGCUGCUAUGAACAUGGGUGUAUAUAGACGUCUCUUCAAGACCCUGCUUUCAAUUCUUUCGGGUAUAUACUGAGAAACGGAAUUGUUGGGUGGCAUGGUAAUUCUAUGUUUAAUUUUUUGAGGAGCUGCCAUACUGUUUUCCAUAGUGGCUGCACCAUUUUAGAUUCUCAUCCUUUAUGCUCUUUUAAUGUUCAUUUCCACCACUCACCAUUCAGGGAGUGUUCAGGGCCCUCGACUAACCAUAUUGGGAUCCAAAAGGUAAUGUUCCCUCUAAUAGUCCCAAACUGGGAACUACAUGCAAGUCCAGUAACAGGGGAUCCAUUAAAUCAUAGAUCCCUAACAUGGAAUCCCACGUAGCCAUUUAAAAUAUUGUUGGGAAGAGUAUUUGAUGACAUGAAAAGAUGUCUCUAAUACUUGUUUAAGUUAAAAAAAAAAGGAGGCUACAAAACAGAAUGUGUAUGUGUAGGGUAAAUCCAUAGUUUUAGUAAAAAGACAACUGUGUAUUAGUAGGAAGAGCUGUCUUAACUGACCUUCACUUAACUGAUUCACUGAAUUAGUCAAAGUCCCUCACCCCUGCCACUUGUAAAACACAGUGACCCGGCUGGGCGCGGUGGCUCACGCCUGUAAUCCCAGCACUCUGAGAGGCCGAGGCGGGCGGAUCACGAGGUCAGGAGAUCAAGACCAUCCUGGCUAACACAGUGAAACCCUGUCUCUACUAAAAAAUACAAAAAAUUAGCCAGGUGUAGUGGCAGGCGCCUGUGGUCCCAGCUACUUGGGAGGCUGAGGCAGGAGAAUGGCGUCAGCCUGGGAGGCAGAGCUUGCAGUGAGCUGAGAUCGUGCCACUGCACUCCAGCCUGGGCGAUAGAGCGAGACUCUAUCUCAAAAAAAAUCAAAAACAAAACAAAAAAAACCCAAAAACACAGUGCCCCAAUAGCUUUCGUUUUUACACCUUCUGCUCCCAACUAUUCAGUUGUACAAUGAGUAAGAGUCACCUUAGUCCCAAGUUAGUUGUUUCCAAACUUGUUUAUUCUAGUUGUAUUAUAUAUGGUAAGAAUGAAUUACACAUGACACAAUAAGGUGAAAUAUGAGUGCAAAAAGUCUCCAUGGGAGCAAAGUCAAAUAUUUGGAGAAGAUGCCUUAAACAAGUGUUAAAUUACAGGUGGAUCAGACAAGGGUAAAAGCCUGGGACACCACCUCUUGGAGGGGAACUAUCUUUCUGAGUUAUCACCUAGAGUGCCAAUUCUUUUCACCUUUAUUGUCCUGAAUUUUCACAGCUCUCCAUGGUAAGCGAUCAGCCAUGUCAUAGUCACCAACUAUGUAGAGUCAAGAGACUAUUUUUAUUCUGUUGCAAACCUUCAGGUCAGCCUAUUAUAGGUAUCUAUAGAAUUCAUUCCUGCAGUGGCAAAUAUGUGGCAUUUGUCCUACCAUUCUCCCAUCCUAAACCCAUGGCUGAUAUCAUGAACCCAUCACCAGAUUUUAUCCUGCUAAAUCCACACUGUAGUAUCAGAACUCUCUGGUUAGCCACAACAAAUCAACUGGGGAUGACAUGUCAUGUGACAUGAAACCUAUGCUGCCUCCCCAACCUCCUCAGGUUACAGAAGGCUUUAAAAAAAUCAGGUAGAAAAUUAAACAUAUACAAAGUGUCUAAAGUCCUGGCCCCUGGGCCCCUGGACUGAAUAUACUGUUUUAUACAUGGUAAGCAUUCAGUGUUCAUUGAAUGAAUGAAUGAAUGAAUGAAUGACAAUGCAUGGUCUCCUGCUUUCCAAAGCUCACCAUUCAGUCUUUCUCCCUCGCAUCAUCCUUCUUAGUUUCCCCUGACACCUGUGCUCUGAAUUUCCUCCCAGUCUAUAGGACAGCAGAAGGCCACAGUGCCCAGAAAUCCCACCAUUACCGACUGGUUUCUUUUGGAUGUGAUAUCCCAUUCAGAGUUAUUUGCAGGUGACCUCAAUACCAGAAUCAUAAACAACUAAUAACUUCUGCCUCUCUUCAGGAAGGCUGUGACUUGCCAACAAAAUGAUUCCCAGAAGACUGCGUUACUAACUGUGAAGCACUCUGCCCCAGGAAGGGGGCUGUAAAUCAGACUUCUUGUUUUAUUUCACUGCUGUACAGCUUUUGGAAAGCACCGACCAGCCUCUCUUCUUCCAGAAAGGAAAAAAAUGCUUCCAUCUCCUUAUUCUGCUUUCCCCUCCCCCUCCUGUUUGCAGCCUCUGGAGUUCAGGGAACAUAUCUGACCUGUCCCUGAACAUUCUCCCUUCUGCCUCUUUGUUCGCGCUGUUCCAUCUUCCCAUACCACCCUUCCACAAACCCCACGCUGACCCCCUGAGACCCUUGCCCGGCCCCAGGCCCACCUCAGAUGCCACCCGCCAAGGAGCCUUCCCUCAUUCCAACCACCUGGGUAGAAAACCUGCCAUCUCUUUACGUGAUAGUCCUUUGGAAGCACCUUCGAUUUUAUUUAGCACAUUCUACCUUAUUUUGCUGGUCUAAAGCAGUAAGAGUCCAGGGCAGCCACCGUUUAUCGAGAGCUUUGAGUGUGCCAGUCACCAUGCAAAGGACUUACAUGCCAUUAUGGUUUGAAUGUUUGUGUCUCUCCAAAAUUCAUGUUGGAGCUUUGGGAGGUGAUUAGGCUAUGAGGGCUCCACCCUCGUGAAUGGGAUUAAUGCCCUCAUAAGGGAGGCUCCAGAGAGCUGCCUGGCUCUUCUGUCUUUUCUGUCAUGUGAGAACACAUUGUCCCUUCCACCUCUUCCAUCACAGGAGGACACCUAGAUGGCACCAUUUAUGAGGAAGGAACCCUCCCUACACACUUAACCUGCUGGCACCUUGAUCUUGGACUUUCUAGGCUUCAGAGGAAAUGAGUUUCUGUACUUUAUAAAUUAUCCAGUCUCGGGUAUUUUAUUAAAGCUUACAAACAGACUUGUAUUAUCUCCUUUAUCUUGCAAACCUCUAUAGCCAUGUCCAUUUUAUUGAGGCUCAGAGAUGCUAAGGAGCCCAAGGUCACACAGCUAGUAAGGAACAGGUCCAGGCAUUCAUUCAUUAAUGAAUUCAUUAAUUCGUUCAAUCAACCAAUCUUUACUUAUUUAUUAAAGGCCUAUAAUGUGCUAGUCAAAGUCUAGAUGUUGGGAAAAUAACAGUAAUCAAGUCAAAGUGCUCGUCCACAAGGAGCUACCAUUCUAGCGGAAGAAACAUAUCCUAAAGAAAAAUACAAGUCAAUAAAUACUGUGUCAGGUGGUGAUAAAUGCUAUGGGGAAGAAAGAGGGUUAGUGAUGGCUGAAGUGGGUCUGCUGUUUAUAUAGGGUGGUCAAGGUGAUCUGGCAACAUUUGAGCGGAGAUCUAAAGGAAAUGAGUCAUGCAGAGAUCUGCAGGAAAAAACAUCACAGGAGGUGGGAACAGCCUAUGCAAAGGCCCUGGGGUGGGCACAUCUAUGGUAUGUUGGAGAGGCAGCGAGGAGUUUAGUGUGGCUGGAGCUGAGUGAGUGAGGGGAGAUAAACUUAGGUGACAGGGGUUAGAUCACGGAGGGCCUCGUGGUCAUGGCAGGAACUUCGGUUUUGACUUUGAUGAAACAGGGAGCCACUAAAGGACAACUCCCAGAACCCAUGUCCUUAAUUGCUAUGCUAUACUACUGAUGGAUUACGUGAAUGAAUGCCGAAAGGUACUUGUGGACUUUUUCUCAUUAAAACCAGCAGGAUGGUGGCCCAGAGAGUCUAGAAACAACGCAUGGAAGGGCAAGAUGUGAGUUAACAAGGAGGGCUAAUUAGGAAGGGGGAAAAGUGCCCAUUGCCUUGGUUGCCGGGAGUCUCUGAGGCUCCCACAGCACAGGACUGUGUAGGGCCCCGUGAUAGCCCCAGUGGGUCCUCUACCUGGAUUUGCAGAGUAGAUUUUCCAGGCCUGCCCCAGAUGGGUCUCAGCCCUUCCAUGAAAUAUGUCCUUUGCUAACAAGAGGCAGUGAGAAAAAGCCAACGUCUGCAAUGACUCACCAGAGAGAAAUGAAAAUUGUGCCCAGACUGGAAAAGAACCCAUCUGAAAGUGACACAUUUGCCUCCAAAAUAUAUAUACAUAUAUAUAAAGCUUUUUCUUUUCUUUUUCCUUCUCAUUUGAAGGAAGGCAGAGCCUUCUCACAUACACUGCCUCACAGCAGGAAAAUCUACUCUGCAAACUUCUGAAAUUCCUGUCCUUAUUCCUGUCGCAAUUCUAUGAGGCAAAAGGAUAUCAUAUCUGGGGAGGUGGCCAUUUCACGGCAGGACAGCAAGCGUGUGCCCUGGCAUUCCCAGGACAAUCCCAAUAGCAAAUAUUCUUCUGAUUGGCUGCCCCCCUCCCCCAGCCCCACUGCCAACUAACCAGCUAUUCUGACUUGGGAGUGCGUACGUUAAAAUGCAGAUUCUGGGAACUCUGAUUCAGGAGGUCUGGGAGGAAGCCCGGACACUGCACUUCAAAUAGAGAACCUCCAAUGAUUCUGAUACAGCCUGUCUAAGAAACGCUUCUCCAAACCACAGGAAUAGUCCCAGUAGCCCUAGCCUUCUGCAUCUAUGCUUAAAGGAUGAAGUGACUCCAAUCCUUUCUCAGACCACAGGGAGGCACAUUUUAGCUCCUGGCAGAGGUCAGAAUGCUCCUGGCCAAAUCAGAGUGGUGGAGAAUCUUGAAAUCCCAGUCCUUGCCCCUGUCCAUUCCAACUCUCUUCAUUUAUCUUCCUGACUUGAGCUUCUGGACUCUGCCGAGCAUUUGCUCUCUGGGUCAUAGCCAGGAAGGCCCCGGUGCUGAGGCAUGGAGCUGCCCUGGGUCUUGGAUACAAGCCACAGCUGGAGAGGGGGUCAGACCUUGCCUAAGCCUCUGAUCAUGAAGUAUAACAGAAAUGCCUAAUUGUGAUUAUGAAACACUGUUUCACGUCUUAAUUUGUUGAAGUUACAUGUUGACAGUAGGUACUGCCUUAGCAGGUGGAAACAAAAGGGUCCUACAUCUAUUAUUACUGUAAUUUACUGGAAUAAGGAGCCACCAGAUGCAGCCCUGGCUCACACCCCUUCCUCAUGAAUUACAAAGCUGGUCUGAGGGCCCUGUCAGUUGCUGGCUUUGGGCACCAACAUUGCUAAUUAAAAUCUUCCUGUGGUGCACUCCACUUUGUUGAGAUCUCUGCUCAGAUGCCAUCUUCCUUACCCACUGGUCUAAAUGACUCUCUUCCCCAGUGCCCUUCUCUUGUUAUUUCUAACCUCUUAGCCUACUUUAUUUUCCUUCAGAGCAUCCACCACUACUUGAAUUACAAAUUGAUUUAUUUGCUUGCUACUUUAUCAUCUGCCUUAAUCCAUCUAGAAGGUAAGUUCUUUAAGAGCUAUGACGUUGUCAUGUUCAACACUGUAUUUUGAUGCCUUGCACAUAACAGGCACUCAACUGAUAGUUGCUGAAUGAAUCAAUCAAUGAUAAAUGAAUGAAUGUUACAAUGUUCUGAGGGCCCUGGAGUCAUGUCUAACUGCAUGAUGCUCUACUUAUUGGAUCCAGUGGUCUUUGCGGACUAAGCAGAUACACAAAAAAUAACAACAGCUGCUUUUUUUUUUUUUUUCUUUUGAGACAGGAUCUUGCUCUGUUGCAUAGGCUGGAGUGCAGUGGCACAAUCUUGGUUCACUGCAACCUCUGCCUCCCGAGCUCAAGCAAUCCUCCCACCUUGGCCUCCCCGGUAGCUGGGACUGUGAAUGCGCACCACCACACCUGACUAAUUUUUGUAUUUUUUGGUAGAGAUGGGGUUUCACCGCAUUGCCCAGGCUGGCCUCAAACACCUGGGCUCAAAUGAUCCGCCUGCCUUGGGCUCCCAGAGUGCUGGGAUUACGGGUGUGAGCCUCCGCACCCAGCCAAUAGCUGUUUUAUUUAGUGCUUACUAUGUACUGGGUGUACACACCAUCUCAUUUUAUCCUCAGAGUAGUUUUGCAAGGUCGGGAUUAUUAACCCCAUUUAUUUAUUUAUUUUUUUGAGACAGGGUCUCGUUUUGUCACCCAGGCUGGAUACACUGGCACGUUCAAUAGUUCACGGCAGCCUCGACCUCCCGGGCUCAAGCAACUCUCCCAUCUCAGCAUCCCGAGUAGCUGAGACCACAGGUACUCACCACCAUGCCCAGCUAAUUUUUGUAUCUUUUUUGGUAGAGACAGGGUUUCACCAUGUUGCCCAGGUUGCUCUGAACUCCUGGGCUCAAGUGAUCUGCCUGCCUCAGCCUGCCAAAGUGCUGGGAUUACAGGCAUGAGCCACUGCAUGUGGCCCUAUUAACUCCACAUAAGAGAUAUAAAAACCAAUGACAAAGUCACCCAGCCAGUAAGGGAAGAGGCGGAAUUCAAACUUAAGUCAUUUAAUGCCAAGGUCUUCACUGUGUCUCACGACAACUGCAUUUGAUGCGAUCUAACUUGUGUUGACACUGGGAUAGGAUCCAGAGACAAGCAAGACAAGGUCCCUAAUGCCAGAAGUUCAGGGUCUAUCUCGGCAGCACAGCAGAAUAAGGAUGAGCAAGCAAUUAGAAUUCACCUCCACAUCCGAGCCUCAUCCUGUACUAGCUGAGCCUCAGCUCCCUCCUCUGUAAAAUAGAGUACUAAUUCACCAAAAUAAUGGAGCCAUAAGUCAUCAGUCCUCUGCUAUGUGAGGACACAGCAAGAAGGCAGCCACCUGCAAGCGAGAAGAGGCCCUACACCAGAGCCUGGCCAUGGUGGCACCCUGAUCUCAGACUUCCAGCCACCAGACCUGUGAGAAAUCAAUGUUUGCUGUUAAGGCUGCCUAGUCCAUGACAUUUUGUUAUAUAUAGCAGCCUGAACUAAAACAGUAGUGAUUCUGGAAGUCAGGUCUACUAGCCAAACACUGUGAACCACCGAUACAUUUAAUUCCAUUACACAGAUCCAAAGUAGUUUUAUUAUCAAACUAAAGGUACAAAGAAAAGAGUCAAGAAUCUCUAGGCAAUUAAAAAUUAGCAUCACAAUCUAGGUGCGGUGGCUCAUGCCCAUAAUCCCAGUAUUUAGGAUUCCCAGUACUGGGGAGGCUGAGGCGGGAGGAUCACUUGAGGCCAGGAGUUCAAGAUCAGCCUGGGCAAUAGAGCAAGAACCUACCUCUACAAAAAAUAUAAAAACUAGUCAGGCAUCGUGGCAUAAGCCUGUAGUCCCCACUACUUGGGAGGCUAAGGUGGGAGGAUUGCUUGAGCCCAGUUAUUUGAGACUGCAGUGAGCUAUAAUCAUACUACUGCACUCCAGCCUGGACAGCAGAGCAAGACUCUUAAAAAAAUUACCAUCACAAAUCAAUUAUGUUCAAAUCUCUCUGUUAAUAAGUAUUUCUUGAUUGGGCUGUUUAGAUUUUAGCAUCUACGUGGGCAAUACAAGGCAGUUGAGGGUGAAGGAAACUGGCAUCUCAUGGCUGGGGUGAUGCAAAUUAUUACUCUCUGUGGGCAGUUUUGUAGCUUUUACUCAAAAUCUUUAAAAUGUACAUAUUCUUUGGCUCUGCAGUUCUACUUCUGAGAAUCUUUCAUCCCACAGGGUACAAAAAGAUGUUCACCAUAGUGUUAUUUUUAUUACUGGAAAGUGGGACACAAUAUAAACAGCAGUCAUUACGGGACUGGUCCCAUGUUAGCACACAAGAACACCGGGAUGGUAUACAGCGAUUAAUAAUCAUGUGGCUUUCUCUGCUGACAUGGGAAAGUGUCCAUAAUAGUUUGUCAAAUUAAGAAGAUGACAAAACGGUACAUAAUCAUAUUUCUGUAACAUCGUAUGUAUGGGUGUGUAUGCUUGCAGAAAAGUCUACAAAAAUAUUCCCUGGAUUGUUCACAGUGGCUUUAUCUUGGUAGAAGGAUUUCAAGUGAUAUUUUUUCAAACUUUUGAUUUAACAGAUAGUAUUGUGUUAGGAAGCUAAGCAAAAAAACCCUCAAAAAACAAAAAACUAGAGUGGCCAGGAGUGGUGGCUCAUGCCUGUAAUUCCAGCACUUUGGGAGGCCAAGGCGGGUAGAUCGCUUGAGCUCAGAAGUUGGAGACCAGCCUGGCCAACAUGGCGAAACUGUCUCUACAAAAAAAUACAAAAAUUAGCUGGGCGCAGUGGUACAUGUCUGGAAUUUCAGCUACUUGGGAGGCUGAGUCAUGAGAAUCACUUGAACCUGGGAGGCAGAGGUCACAGUGAGCCAAGAUUGCACCACUGCACUCCAGCCUGGGUGACAGAGUGAGAGCCUGUCUCAAAAAAAAAAAAAAAAAGAAAAAACUGGAGUCAAUCUAAAAUUGCUUUAAAGAAAAGUGUUGAGGAAAUAAUAGAACAGGCAGGAAAGAGAUGUGAGAAAAUGGCAAAGGGGAGUGUGAAAGUUUGGCAAACACAGUUUUAAAUUCUUCAUCCUGCUCUUGCGUGGAAAGACUGUCUGCUCUUGCUUCUAAGUGAUAAACAUCUUAGUGGGAAAACCUCUUCCUUUUAUUUACCCAUUGACCCAGUUUUGGUGGUCAAUGACGCCCGCCCUUCCUGACAGAUGUUGGGGCAUGGGCCAGACAGGCCCGCUGGGUACACAAGGAUGCCCGCUCUUCUCCCUUGAUCCUGCAGUGGCUCCCUAGGGCCUCCAAGUAGGGGGAGUAGUUCUGUUGAUGGAGGGGUCACUAUGUACAAAGACUGAGCUGAAAUUUCUUGCACACCUUCUCAGAAUCACCCUAGGAGGGAAGCUUUUUGAAUGACCCCAUUUUAUUGAAAAAGAAACUAAGGCUCACAGAGGUCAAGGGUCUUGUCCAAGAUCACACAGCAAGUAAGCGAAGGACCUCACGCUCCAGUUCAGGUCGGCCUCUUUCUUUUGUUUUUUUGAGACAGAGUCUCGCUCUGUCGCCCAGGCUGGAGUGCAGUGGCAUGAUCUCGGCUCACUGCAAGCUCCGCCUCCCAGGUUCACGCCAUUCUCCUGCCUCAGCCUCCUGAGCAGCUAGGACUACAGGCGCCGCCACCACACCCGGCUAAUUUUUUGUAUUUUUUUUUUAAGUAGAGACGGGGUUUCACCGUGUUAGCCAGGAUCGUCUGGAUCUCCUGACCUCGUGAUCCACCCGCCUUGGCCUCCCAAAGUGCUAGGAUUACAGGCGUGGGACACCGUGCCCAGCCCAGGUCAGCCUGUUUCUAGGACCCAUCACUCUGAACCUCUAGUAACAAGAGGAUUCAGAAUCUGAGAGAUACUGCUUAAAAGGAAAAUGUCCUGGAGGGAUGCCAAACUGCACUCUCAAAGGUUUCGGCUGGAUGUGUGAUAUUGAUGGGGAAACCCAUUUCAGUGUCUCUAAGAAGGGGGUAGUGCUCCUCUUUCCAGGAUGUCUCUGGGGAAUCUAGAGCACCCCAAAGUGUGGUAUGCAUAGAAACAUUGCUGCUUAAGGUCUGAAUAUUUGUUCCUCAUCAAUUCAUGUGUUGAAAUUCUAACCUCUCCUGAAUGGGAUUAGUGCUCUUACACGAGAGGCCUGACAGAGACUCCUCACCCUUCCCACCAUGCGAAGACACAGUGAGAAGGCUCAGUCUAUGAACCAAAAUGUUGACUGUCACCAUUUACUCAAUCUGCUGUCGCCUUGAGCUUGGACUUCCCAGCCUCCAGAACUGUGAGAAAUAAAUUUCUGUUGCUUAUAAGACAACCAGUUUAUGACAUUUCGUUAUAGCAGCCUGAAUGGACUAAGACACCCUUCCCACCAUGUGAAGACAGAGUGAGAAGGUUCGGUCUAUGAACCAAAAACUGACCCUCACCAGUCAUUGAAUCUGCUGGUGCCUUGAUCUUGGACUUCCCAGCCUCCAGAACUGUGAGAAAUAAAUUUCUGUCGUUUAUAAGCCACCUAGUUUAUGAUACUUUGUUAUAGCAGCCUGAAUGGACUGAGACACCCACCUUAAAAAGACAGUACCUCAAAACCAUAAGGCAGGAUAACUGCUAGCCUGAUAUUAAUAGUUUUUAAUUUACUGCUAGCUUCAUUUUGCCAACUGAGUCAGAUAUUUUUUAAAAGUUCUGUUUGCAAUUAUUUUAACUUAGGAGAGGAGAAAAAGAGCAGGCAUCAGCCUGCAUAUGGGAUAUUUCUGAAAGGAUUUUGCUAUGAUUAGCUUGCCCUCAGGGAGAGUAAAAUGUGAGUUAUACAACCAUGCUUAUAUUUAGAUGUUGUUGAUGUUCUGGCUUAUAAUAUAUGAUGAGUUAGAAAUAAUUUUGUACUGAUCAGCCCAACCAGAAAAUAAACAUGCUUUAACUUGUAUUUAUUACUAAACUUGGUCUCCUAAAACAUGAUAAAGCAGUUGAGUCUAUAAUGACUGAGCCAUAGCUUCUCUGACUGACUCUAAGAGGGAAUGACGUUAAUAAGAGAUUAGCCCAUACCUCUAAUAGCCCUGGGAGAGAUGAACCCAAGACGGCAAGGCCCAGCUCUGAUGGAUGAAGGGACAGAGAACUAUAAGAAGACUGGGUUCCAUCUAGGAUGGGUGGCCUGUUGAGUGCCCAUCUUAUCUGCUUAGAUGAUGAUACUUGGAGACCUGACUCAAUUGUUGUGAAUGGUCUUUGUAAAAUUUUAUUUUAGAGACAGGGUCUUGCUAUGUUGCCCAGGCUGGUCUCAAACACCUGGGCUCAAGUGAUCCUCCUGCCUCAGCCUCCUGAGUAGCUGGAACUGCAAGUGAUUACUCUUAUUGAACAAACAAACAAAAACAAGUGCCUGUGACCUAAUAGAGAUGCAUGCAUAUGUUCACCAAAAGAUCUAGAAUGUCCACAACAGCCCUAUUUAUCAUCACCCCAAAUGGGGCACCCUGCACCUACCUCAACAGUAGAUGCAUACAUUUCUGUGUAUUUACACUGUGGAAUAUGACACAGCAAUGACAAUGAAUGAACUACAGCUAUACACAACAACAUGGAUGGCUAUCACAAACAUAAGGUAGAGCUAAAAGCGAAAAAAACCAGCAUAAAAGUGGGCAAAAGCCAUCUAUGUUGUUAAAAAUCAGGAUAGUGGCUGCCCUGGAAGGGGGCAUGAGGAGGCUUCAAGGUGCUUGUCAUGUUCUCUUUCUUCACU
rnacentral:lncRNA from 1 species